UAAAUUAUUAUAAUAAGUAUAUUUGACUUCCAAUCAUAGGGUUCCAAGGGAAUUUAGUAAU
rnacentral:tRNA from 1 species